GGCAAGGACCACCUCUUCCCAUUCCGAACAGAGAAGUUAAGCCUGCCAGCGCCGAUGAUACUGCUACACUAAGUGGGAAAGUAGGCCGUCGCCAAAC
rnacentral:rRNA from 1 species